AUGAAGCACAAUGAGCCGGCUGCGUGUGCAUAUAAACUUGAUCUCUCGAAGGCAUAUGAUCGUGUGGAUUGGGAUUUUUUGGAGCAAGCGCUAUCCAAAUGGGGUUUUUCGGCCCUAUGGAUUUCUUGGAUCAUGGCUUGCGUGAAGUCUGUGAAAUACUCUGUCAAAUUUAAUGGAAAAUUGCUACAUGGUUUUACCCCAUCCAGGGGUCUUCGUCAAGGUGAUCCACUGUCCCCGUUCCUCUCCCUUUUUGUUGCUGACGCUGUGUCUGCUCUCAUCUCAAAGUCAGUGAAUGAAGGGGAAUUGAAGGGGGUCACCAUAUGUAGAGGGGCACCGAUUAUUUCUCAUCUCCUGUUCGCGGAUGAUACUAUGUUGCUUUUUGAAGCGUCGGAUCAGCAGGCAAGUAUUGUCAAAGGUUUGUUGAACACUUACACUAGAGCGACGGGUCAACUCGGAAAGGUGUUCCAUCCUUUUUUCUAA
rnacentral:rRNA from 1 species